rnacentral:rRNA from 1 species
CCUACGGGGGGCAGCAGUAGGGAAUCUUUCACAAUGGGCGAAAGCCUGAUGGAGCAACGCCGCGUGCAGGAUGAAGGCCUUCGGGUUGUAAACUGCUUUUAUAAGCGAGAAAUAUGAUGGUAACUUAUGAAUAAGGAUCGGCUAACUACGUGCCAGCAGCCGCGGUCAUACGUAGGAUCCGAGCAUUAUCCGGAGUGACUGGGUGUAAAGAGUUGCGUAGGUGGCAUAAUAAGUAGCUAGUGAAAUCUGGUGGCUCAACCAUUCAGACUAUUAGCUAAACUGUUAAGCUCGAGACCGUUAGGGGUAACGGGAAUUUCUAGUGUAGGAGUGAAAUCCGUAGAUAUUAGAAGGAACACCAAUAGCGUAGGCAGGUUGCUGGGACGGUUCUGACACUAAGGCACGAAAGCGUAGGGAGCAAACGGGAUUAGAUACCCCAGUAGUC